rnacentral:rRNA from 1 species
CGUGUAGGCGGUUGUUUAAGUCUGAUGUGAAAGCCCUGGGCUCAACCCGGGAAGUGCAUUGGAAACUGGGCAACUUGAGUACGGGAGAGGGUAGUGGAAUUCCGAGUGUAGGGGUGAAAUCCGUAGAUAUUCGGAGGAACACCGGUGGCGAAGGCGGCUACCUGGACCGAUACUGACGCUGAGACGCGAAAGCGUGGGGAGCAAACA